rnacentral:lncRNA from 1 species
UUGGUAGUGAAACCAUAAUCCACACAAGUUAAAAAAAAUCAGUGUUAGGAAAAUUCUGUCAGCCUUCUGAGUAGACUGAGACAUGCAUUGGGGCUUGGUUAUAUUUUCUCAGCCAAAAGAGAGAAGGCUUGAAAGGGGGAAACAAAGACAAUGGAGAAAUGACUUUAAUAUUUCACUGGGGUAGAGUCGUUCUAAUAGCAGUCAGCUUAAAAACUAUCCCUUCCUGACCUAGAAACAUAGAGUUCAACAUAAUUGUUCAUGAGAGUAGUACAAAUUAAAGCCAUAAUGAGACACCAUCACACAACUAUUUAGAAUGGCGAAAUGAAAGACUGACAUAGCAAGUGUUGGCAAGAAUGUGGAACAACUAAAAAUCUCAUAGGCUGGCUUUGAACUCCUGGCCUCAAGUGAUCCUUCUGCCUCAUCUCCACAAGGUACUGGGUUAUAGGCAUGAGCCACCAUACCCAGCCAGGCUCAUAUACUGAUGAUGGAAAUGUAGAAUGGUACAGCCACUUGGGAAAACAUGUUGCUGGUUUCUUAUACAAGUUAACAUACAGUUACAAUAUGAUUCCCCAAUCUCAAUUCUAGCUGUUUACCAAUGAGAAAUGAAAACAUGUUUACACAAAAGCCUGUAUACAAGUAUUUAUGGAGGUUUUAUCCACCUUGGCCUCCCAAAGUGCUGGAAUUACAGGCAUGGGCCACUUCGCCCAGCCACAUUUGUGCAUAGCUAGUGACACAUAUGAACAAACUCAAAAGACUGGGAGAAAAUGGAUGUUUUACAUGGAAUAAAGAGUUAAU